GUGGGUGACACACCAAUGGUGGUGUAGCGGGCUGUAACCCCGUGGCGUUCUACGCGGGCAGGUUCGAUCCCUGCCACCCACAC
rnacentral:tRNA from 5 species